UGAAGCCAGAACUUUGUUUGCUGCAUUAGAUUAUAACCACCACAACCACAGACCACCAAUGGUUACCAGAGAAGGCAACAGAGUAUACCAGAAGGUAUACAACAAGAAUUCCCAGAGGUAUAGCCUGUAGACCAUUAAGAGCCACAAAACCUACACUUACGUCCUUGACCUACAGAGAGCCAUCAAUGGGAUAUAUUUGGGGUCUGGGAAGGGAGUGCCAACAGGAAGGACCCUCAGGGCAGAUGAUCCGUGGAGAUUUUGCCUUCUUCCAGCUAUAGAGCCACCAACAACAGAAGAAUUGCUUGAGAGCCAUGUCCCAAGACAAGAGCUUGUGUCCAAAAGAAAGAACAACUUGGAACAAGGACUUCUGCUGACAGAGCACACCAUGACUUUUUAUUAUCAAGCUGUUUGUAAAUAUUUAGUGAGUUGUUUUUUUGCAUUU